rnacentral:tRNA from 1 species
AGGGGUUUAGGAUAAUAUUAGACCAAGAGCCUUCAAAGCCCUAAGCGGGAGUGAAAGUCUCUCAACCCCUG